rnacentral:rRNA from 1 species
CACCUCUUCCCAUUCCGAACAGAGAAGUUAAGCCCACCAGAGCCGAUGGUACUGCGGUAACACGUGGGAGAGUAGGUCGGUGCCAAAU